CCUCAGGGGCGUGCUGCCUCUACUGGCGGGAGUCAGAGAUGCCGUGUUAGAUGAGAGUGCGCAAGAUCGCGACAUAGCUCGUAGAAAUGUGAAAACAGCAGAAGUGAAGGAUGGUUAGACUCGCAAAGAUCUAGCACUGUUUGAUGAGCAAAAC
rnacentral:lncRNA from 1 species